GCCACGGUGAGGUGCGCGCGCAGCCACUGGAGUAAUGUGAGGCAGCUCAGCUGGGAAAGCGCGAACAUUGAAAGUGAUACGAGUUGAGUUAAAGCCCAGAGAGACGUCCUUUUUAGAAGCGUUCGAGACCGUACAGCUUCACACCUUUCCUGCACCCGGACCCUUGAGUAAAACCAGUUUUGUUCUUCGGGGACCCAUCCCCCAACCACCAAAAACUGAACUGAACCGCCAGAAGGAGCUCGCGGCUCACGAGAGCAACGCCAGAGCUGGCGAGGCCGAGUCGGAGGGACUGGAAAUGCUAGUCGGCGUGGCAACCCGAUAAGGUAACCCACCUCCAGACUGUCUAUCUCUAACACUGGAAACCAGUCCGUCUUUCUCUGUUUUCUUCCACGUUUUCCCCUUUUCUACACCCUCCAGGUUAGGACUAGUUUUGGUUCAUUAAUACUGAAUCCCCUAGACUUGACUAGUCCGUAACAAUAAACUGAUCAUGGAUGUGGUCACACGAUGGAAAGGUUUGCUCGAUAUGAUUGAGCGCUACCUGGAGCAACAGCAAGCAGUGCUACUGAGUGAUGAAGUCAGGCAUAACUUAUGUGACAAAGAUACUCUGGACCCAGCUGACAUCACAGACUCUGAGGACAUAGUAAGGCUUCUCAUUCCGCUGAAAAAAAGCAACCACAGGGCUGCAUGAUGAGUCUCGACCUACAGUCUGUCAUUGUGCCCCUCAAGCACAUGAUCGAAUAGAGCAUGGCACAGUGUGAUGAAGACUACACCACCAUCGCCCAAAUGAAGAGAGCCAUACUGAAGGACUUGACAGACUGAUAUCAAGGGAAGUAAAACUAGUUUCUACUAGAAAGCGUUGGACCCCAUUUUCUGGAGCUUGCACCAGCUAGACGACAGAGGGAGGAAGUUUUCAACAGUCGAAGUCGAAAGCAACACAGAUGCAUUACCAGCCCCAAACAUGCAGCAGGACAGACUGAGACUGGUGAUGGCCUGCCACACACAGCACAUGGAGCUGAGGAGGAACAAUCUCCUCCUUCCAAAAAGACAGCACUUAAAGAUCUCCUUGAGGAUUCUUUCCCUGAAGGACUGGGACAGUGCACCGCCCCAACAUUGGGAUUGAGGCUGAAAUUGACUUGUACCGCAAAGAGACCUCGAUUUUACUCUCUGUCCUCUCAAGUGGUGGAGAGACAAUGCACGGUUUUACCCACUGCUGUCAGCCAUGGCCAAAACAUAUCACUCUGUCCCAGCACCCUCAGUACUGAGCAAGCAAGUUUUUCCUAGAGCAGGGGACACUGUAAACAUCUAUCUGAUGAUGAUGAGUGAGUGAGUUUGAGUUAACUUGUUUUUUGUUUGUCUGUUUGAGUUACUUGAAAAGCUAAAGUGAAGGUUGAUUUAUUGUAUUGCAAGAUCUGAUUAUUUUAUUUCUUGUUUGUUAUUUGAUUUGUGAGAUGCAGUUGCACUAAGAAAAUGCCUACUUUCUGAGUAGAGUGGGUAAAAAAAAAACACUAGAUGUUCCUGUUCCAGUUUGUGACUGACUGUCAGACUUGACUCCAUGUUUUUGGCACUUUAAAAUAAAUGCCUGCCUAGUCUUCUAGGUAGGGAGGUAGAUAGUAGCAUAGGGGGUACUGAAAAACACUGAUGUUCCACUGUGAGUGUGACUUGUGACUUGAGUGUUUUGUUUACAGGACCCAGCUGCUGCAAUAAUAUUUCAUUUUAUUAUUUUAUUUUAUAAAAGAACUGCUACUGACUGCUGCAUUGUUUUUGUUUUGCAAUUGUACAUGGUGCAAUCAUUGCCAAAGACAAUUCAGACAAUUUUUUGCACAUGCUUAGGUCAUGGCUGACUACUUUUAUUUUAUUUUAUUAAAGAAGGAAAGCAGAAGCACUUUAACUUAAAAGGAAAAAUAGUCAAGGACGUUUUUUCAAGUCAUCAUAUUUCUUUUUUUCUCAAAUAUCAUGAUAAAUAUCGUAUCAUGGACGUUUAUCGUGGUAUUAUUGUACCGUGGGUUUUUGGUAUUGUUACAUCCCUAGUAAUUGGAUUUAACUUACAGCAAAAUGCCAUCCCUGUUUUUCACAGCUGGUCUGUGGACAUGAUAGAUAUAAUCCAGGUCUCAUGCACAGGUGGGCUGAAGGAGAACCUCUUGGAAGUGUACAUCAAGAUGUGGUUGUGAAAUGACUCCAGUUCUGCAGUUGAUUUUCAUGUAGCACAAAUGGCAAAUUAUAAAACACUUUUAACAUAUUUUCUCUAAUAGAUAAAGGAUAAAACACAUAUUUGAUAUGUCCAAAGUGAUCCAUGUGAUUGUGAACACACACUUUAUUAGUGAAAAUGCAGAACUAUUCACUUAUCUGAAAGGCAAAACUUUUCCACAUCCCUCAGCCACAGAUCAGGGUUCUGUGUGCAGUCUUGCUCGGUCCAGAUGUUGUUGUGGUUCUCGGGCAGCUGUCUGUGACAGGUGGCAGGUGACACGGUGCAAAACACAGUGACUGAAAUCACAGACAAUUUGGACAAAAUAAGAAAGUUCAAAAACUAAUAUGACCGUCAAUGUCAAUAAAUAAUAAAAAUCAAUAAAGGCCAAUAUCUGCAAUAGUAAGACUUGAAUCAAACCAAUUUUAUUCCCAGUUGUUGCAGUAACAGGCUGGCAUGAUACUUUUCACAGCUGAUGUGAUGAGCACCAUUUUUAAACACAGACUGUGAUGCUAUCAUUUGCUAUUACAAACACUGCAUACCUUUCAAUUAAACAUCUGUUCUGUUUUACUUUCA